rnacentral:tRNA from 1 species
UAUUUCUUUCGUAUUUAUAUAGUUUAACUUUAAAACAUUACAUUUUCAUUGUAAAAUUAAAUACUAUUAUUUUAUAA